rnacentral:rRNA from 1 species
CGAACGAGCAAGAGAGAGCUUGCUUUCUCGAGCGAGUGGCGAACGGGUGAGUAACGCGUGAGGAACCUGCCUCAAAGAGGGGGACAACAGUUGGAAACGACUGCUAAUACCGCAUAAGCCCACGGGUCGGCAUCGACCAGAGGGAAAAGGAGCAAUCCGCUUUGAGAUGGCCUCGCGUCCGAUUAGCUAGUUGGUGAGGUAAUGGCCCACCAAGGCAACGAUCGGUAGCCGGACUGAGAGGUUGAACGGCCACAUUGGGACUGAGACACGGCCCAGACUCCUACGGGAGGCAGCAGUGGGGAAUAUUGCACAAUGGGGGAAACCCUGAUGCAGCGACGCCGCGUGGAGGAAGAAGGUCUUCGGAUUGUAAACUCCUGUUGUUGGGGAAGAUAAUGACGGUACCCAACAAGGAAGUGACGGCUAACUACGUGCCAGCAGCCGCGGUAAAACGUAGGUCACAAGCGUUGUCCGGAAUUACUGGGUGUAAAGGGAGCGCAGGCGGGAAGACAAGUUGGAAGUGAAAUCUAUGGGCUCAACCCAUAAACUGCUUUCAAAACUGUUUUUCUUGAGUAGUGCAGAGGUAGGCGGAAUACCCGGUGUAGCGGUGGAAUGCGUAGAUAUCGGGAGGAACACCAGUGGCGAAGGCGGCCUACUGGGCACCAACUGACGCUGAGGCUCGAAAGUGUGGGUAGC